rnacentral:tRNA from 1 species
GGUGACAUAGCCAAGUGGUAAGGCGUAGGGUUAAACCCUUUUAUCGUCGGUUCGACUCCGACUGCCACCUCCA